UGUAAGGGUAUACCCUUGUAAGUAUUUUGUAUGUGCUUUUUUGGGUUGUUAUUUAAAU
rnacentral:tRNA from 1 species